rfam:Medicago truncatula strain A17 chromosome 2, whole genome shotgun sequence.
AUAUAAGCAAAUUUUACUUUUUAAGUUCAUUCCAUUAAUGAUGUAUGUGGUCAUGGACCACAUACAUCAUUAAUGGAAUGAACUUAAAAAGUAAAAUUUGCUUAUAU